AGACGGACACCAACCGCAGUGAAAACAGGCGUUUGCAUUGUGAAUCCAGCCAUGGACUGCAAUGUCCUUAGAUCGCUUUCUGCUUUUGCAUUUUAUGGUCCAGACUACUUGCCCCUCGUGUUGGAUUGCAGCUGGUGCCUUGAGUUUACCUAUAUCAGAGGCAAGUGCCCUAACUACCUUCAAACUGGCAGCUCUUAAUACUCCUGGAGCUCAGCUGGCCUUCUGCACCUUCCUCAUUACUAUCAUAUCUAUCUACAUGUGGUGAAUAGCUUAUAUGACAGAGCCUGUUCAAUUCAGAAAGCUUUAAAGCUCAACAGGUAUAAUCAGUGAUACACUGGCACAGGAGUGAAAUCAUUCCAAUGCAGUUAAAGAUAUGACCAAUACUGGAAACUUCAAACAGCUCUUCAAGCUUAAAGAGGUAAGUAAAAACAUGUUAGGGUCAUUUUUGGUGGGGUGUAGCUACUACAGAAUCAACUACACCCAAAUUAUAUUUUGCCAUUUAAUUGUUUCUGUAGAGAGCUGACAAUGUGUAAAAAGACUGCAUCUGGCCUGUUUUACCUGUGUGAUUUUAGGGAGGACCCACCACAGCAAGCCUUUCUGUAGGCCCCCUUCAACUCUUCAAGUCUUCUUCACUACUUCUUCUUCUAUAGUCUUAUUCAAUUGACACCAAUUGUAUAUGUUUUGCAUUGAAGUCAAUACAGUGAAAAAAGAGAAGUUGGUGUCCUGUUUUCCUUGGUUUUUGUGCCUUACAACAGGUUACAGGAACACCCAGUCAUGAGGAGGAUAAGGUUCUGCACAAGGACAAACCUAUGAGGUGGCACUGUGGCUUUCCAAAUAAAGUUCUGUGAUACACUUAGACUCUUAAUUGCUUGCAGUCAGUGCAUUACAGAACUUUGUUUUGGGAGUUAAUACUUUAACCUGUGGGAAAUAAAGCCUCAAACAUAUGGAAAGUUUAAGUUUACAACAUGGUGCGAUAUUCCUCUUGAUACCUCUUGAUAAGUGACUGUUUUCUUGAAUAAAAUGUAUCUCUGUUUGAAGCAUUUUU